rnacentral:rRNA from 1 species
UGGGGAAUUUUGGACAAUGGGGGCAACCCUGAUCCAGCAAUGCCGCGUGUGUGAAGAAGGCCUUCGGGUUGUAAAGCACUUUUGUCCGGAAAGAAAACGCCGUGGUUAAUACCCGUGGCGGAUGACGGUACCGGAAGAAUAAGCACCGGCUAACUACGUGCCAGCAGCCGCGGUAAUACGUAGGGUGCAAGCGUUAAUCGGAAUUACUGGGCGUAAAGCGUGCGCAGGCGGUCCGCUAAGACAGAUGUGAAAUCCCCGGGCUUAACCUGGGAACUGCAUUUGUGACUGGCGGGCUAGAGUAUGGCAGAGGGGGGUAGAAUUCCACGUGUAGCAGUGAAAUGCGUAGAGAUGUGGAGGAAUACCGAUGGCGAAGGCAGCCCCCUGGGCCAAUACUGACGCUCAUGCACGAAAAGCGUGGGGGAGCAAACAGGAUUAGAUACCCUGGUAGUCCACGCCCUAAACGAUGUCAACUAGUUGUCGGGUCUUCAUUGACUUGGUAACGUAGCUAACGCGUGAAGUUGACCGCCUGGGGAGUACGGUCGCAAGAUUAAAACUCAAAUGAAUUGACGGGGUCAUAGCUGUUUCCUG